UACGGGGGGGGCAAGCGUUGUUCGGAAUUACUGGGCGGAAAGGGUUCGUAGGUGGCCAACUAAGUCAGACGUGAAAUCCCUCAGCUUAACUGGGGAACUGCGUCUGAGACUGGAUGGCUUGAGUGCAGGAGAGGAACGCGGAAUUCCAGGUGUAGCGGUGAAAUGCGUAGAUAUCUGGAGGAACCCCGGUGGCGAAGGCGGCGUUCUGGACUGCAACUGACACUGAGGAACGAAAGCCAGGGGAGCAAACGGG
rnacentral:rRNA from 1 species